rnacentral:hammerhead_ribozyme from 1 species
GCACUGCUGAGGAGUGCCACAAUAGGACGAAACGCCCGUCCAGUGC